UUCUUUGCCUCCUGCAGUCUGUGCCUUCCACCAUGAUCAUGAGGCUUCCCCAGCCACACAGAACUGCCCUAUUCUAAGCACUUUACAUGUGUUAAUUCAUGGAAUCCUCUCAAUAUACUAUAAUUAACCCCACCUGAAAAAUGAGAAAACUAAAGCACAGAGAAGUUAAAUAAUUAUGUGUCCGAGGUCCUAUACCUGGUGAGUACCAGAUCCGGAAUCUGAACACAGGCAGUUUGGCUCCCGAAUCUACAUUCUCACCAGCUACUCUCAGCAACGGUCUUUGAAAUUCUCAUCAAGAGGUAGUUGCAGUCUGGCAUCAUGUGGCACAUCAUCACUGUCUCUUCUGCAAAUUUCUGAGAAUAAGAAGAAUUGGUUGAAAAAACUUCUAACAUCUCCAUCGGUUUGUAAUCAGCGAAUACAAUUAUGAAGCAAUUUCCUACCUGUUUUUUUAUUUGAUCCAUGAACUUUUCAAGAGAUGUGUGCUAUUGCUGUUGUGACCAUUAGCUCCCAUUUCUCAGAUGAGGAAACUGAGGCUCAGUGAGCCUUAAAUGACUUGCCCAAAACUAUAAGAUGGAAAUCUCUGCCCAUAAAAAUCUUCCACAGUAAACAGACACUGAUGCAAACACACUGGGCUUCCUUCUAUUACCUCAUCAUGCAUGUGCUCCUUAAAAUUGAUCACCAGUGACUUCCUCUCUUCUCCCUUUCCCUGUGCUUACGUAAUUCCUUUCCUGAAUGACUUAUCUUAGUACCAAGCUUUGUCCUCCUUCCCGAGUAGCCCAGUAUGAAGAGAACAUAAGGGAGACCCAUUUAGUAGUGGGAAAAGUAACUACCGGGUGAAAAUGACGUUGAUGUUUUCCCAACGUCAGCAACACUGCUUAGACUACUACUCCAAUAGUUAAUCAAGCUGGACUUCUAAUGUUAGGGACUGAGUUUUAUGUCCCCUAGUAUGUACUUUCUCUUCUAUAAUAACAAUGAAAAUACAGACCACCCAAUUUGAAAGUGGGCAAA
ensembl:lncRNA novel transcript